rnacentral:rRNA from 1 species
GAUGAACGCUGGCGGCGUGCCUAAUACAUGCAAGUCGAGCGCAUCGGGGACGUGUGAGUAAGACGUUGAUAACCUCCUAUAAGACUGGGAUAACUUCGGGAAACCGGAGCUAAAACGGAUACUUAUCGAUGGAUCCGGGUUGCACUAGCUAUUUGGUAAGGUAACGGCUUACAAAGGCAACGAUCCAUAGCGGACCUGCGAGGGGGAUCGGCAACACUGGAACUGAGACACGGGCCAGACUCCUACGGGAGGAAGCAGUAGGGAUUCUUCCGAAAGGGGCGAAACCCUGACGGGGCAACGCCGCGUGAUUGAUGAAGGUCUUCGGAUCGUAAAACUCUGUUAUUAGGGAAGCGGUACCUAAUCAGAAAGCCACGGCUAACUACGUGCCAGCAGCCGCGGUAAUAC